GCCUGGCUGGCUCAGUUGGUAGAGCCUGUGACUCUUGAUCUCAGAGUCAUGCGUUCAAGCCCCAUAUUAGGUG
rfam:Ailuropoda melanoleuca scaffold100_81, whole genome shotgun sequence.